UACGUAGGGGGCGAGCGUUGUCCGGAUUUAUUGGGCGUAAAGAGCGUGUAGGCGGCCAGGUAGGUCUGCUGUGAAAACUCGAGGCUCAACCUCGAGACGUCGGCGGAAACCAUCUGGCUAGAGUCCGGAAGAGGAGAGUGGAAUUCCUGGUGUAGCGGUGGAAAUGCGCAGAUAUCAGGAGGAACACCGGUGGCGAAGGCGGGUCUCUGGGCCGAUACUGACGCUGAGGAGCGAAAGCGUGGGGAGCGAACAGG
rnacentral:rRNA from 1 species